GGAUGUGAGAGCAAUCUGGCUGCCAUCAUCGGUCACUCCCCUGAUCUCCAGGGGUUGAUUCUGAUCUGGCAGCCUAGCCAGGGGUCUUCAUCCCCCACCCCCACCACUCCACGUGAGUCCUUCCUGAAGCUGGGAGCUCCAUUAAAGAAGAUGACCUUCCCUGAUAGGCAAGGACUGUUCUUUGACAAGUAACUAUGCUGUCUGUAACAGCUGUAACAGGCUAAAACCAGAGUGCUAACCAGAGCAACUCCAUUUUGUUAAAAAAAAAAAAAAAUCUUGUUU
rnacentral:sRNA from 1 species